rnacentral:rRNA from 1 species
UACCAGCACCCCGAGUGGUCGGGACGUUUAUUGGGCCUAAAGCAUCCGUAGCCGGUUCUACAAGUCUUCCGUUAAAUCCAACUGCUUAACAGGUGGGCCGCGGAGGAUACUAUAAGACUAGGAGGCAGGAGAGGCAAGCGGUACUCAGUGGGUAGGGGUAAAAUCCGUUGAUCCAUUGAAGACCACCAGUGGCGAAGGCGGCUUGCCAGAAUGCGCUCGACGGUGAGGGAUGAAAGCUGGGGGAGCAAACCGG